GCGAAGAUGAACCUCGUAAAAAUAGGAAUGAAUGAUAUAGCUUGAACGUUUGACGAAGUUGAGUGAAGUAUGCUGGUACCAUUUGACGGAGUCGAGUAAAGUGUAAUUGUGUCAGUCGGUGUUUAGGAUAGGUGCUAAAAUACAAUGAAUACAAUAUCUACAUUUGCAUUCUAGUUAUAAGACCGAAGCGAUCCCGGAGAGUGCAACGAACCAUGAUAAAUGAGUCUUCUAUCGUUAUAAUCUUCAUUGCUAAACACAAAUCGAACCAUAAAC
rnacentral:misc_RNA from 1 species